rnacentral:snRNA from 1 species
GCUCUGUUUUCUUUGGCAUUGCAUGUACUAAAAUUGGAAUGAGGCGAAGAUUAGCAUGUCCCCUGCCGAAAGAUGACACACAAAUUGGUGAAGUGUUCCUACUUAAA